rnacentral:rRNA from 1 species
UACGUAGGGUGCAAGCGUUAAUCGGAAUUACUGGGCGUAAAGCGUGCGCAGGCGGUUUUGUAAGUCUGACGUGAAAUCCCCGGGCUUAACCUGGGAAUUGCGUUGGAGACUGCAAGGCUGGAGUCUGGCAGAGGGGGGUAGAAUUCCACGUGUAGCAGUGAAAUGCGUAGAGAUGUGGAGGAACACCAAUGGCGAAGGCAGCACUCUGGGACGUGACUGACGCUGAGACGCGAAAGCGUGGGGAGCAAACAGG